rnacentral:rRNA from 1 species
CCUACGGGUGGCUGCAGUGGGGAAUAUUGGACAAUGGGCGAAAGCCUGAUCCAGCCAUGCCGCGUGUGUGAAGAAGGUCUUCGGGUUGUAAAGCACUUUAAGCGGGGAGGAAGGCCUUGAGACUAAUACUCUUGAGGAUUGACGUUACCCGCAGAAUAAGCACCGGCUAACUCUGUGCCAGCAGCCGCGGUAAUACAGAGGGUGCAAGCGUUAAUCGAAGUUACCGUACGUAAAGCGCGAAGAGGCGGGUGAAAUCCCCGGGCUCAACCUGGGCACGGCAUCCGAUACUGGCUGACUAGAGUGUGGGAGAGGAAGGUAGAAUUCCAGGUGUAGCGGUGAAAUGCGUAGAGAUCUGGAGGAAUACCGAUGGCGAAGGCAGCCUUCUGGCCUAACACUGACGCUGAGGUGCGAAAGCAUGGGGAGCAAACAGGAUUAGAUACCCCUGUAGUC